UACGUAGGGUGCAAGCGUUAAUCGGAAUUACUGGGCGUAAAGCGUGCGCAGGCGGUUAUGCAAGACAGAUGUGAAAUCCCCGGGCUCAACCUGGGAACUGCAUUUGUGACUGCAUGGCUAGAGUGCGGCAGAGGGGGAUGGAAUUCCGCGUGUAGCAGUGAAAUGCGUAGAUAGUGCGGAGGAACACCGAUGGCGAAGGCAAUCCCUGGGCCUGCACUGACGGCUCAUGCACGAAAGCGUGGGGAGCAAACAGG
rnacentral:rRNA from 1 species